rnacentral:misc_RNA from 1 species
GAUGAAGAACGCAGUGAAAUGCGAUAAGUAAUGUGAAUUGCAGAAUUCAGUGAAUCAUCGAAUCUUUGAACGCACAUUGCGCCCGCUAGUAUUCUGGCGGGCAUGCCUGUCCGAGCGUCAUUUCAACCCACAAGCCCCCGGGCUUGGUGUUGGGGAUCGGCGAGCCUCCGCGCCCGCCGUCCCCUAAAUCUAGUGGCGGUCUCGCUGUAGCUUCCUCUGCGUAGUAGCACACCUCGCACUGGGAAACAGCGCGGCCACGCCGUUAAACCCCCAACUUCUGAACGUUUGACCUCGGAUCAGGUAGGAAUACCCGCUGAACUUAAGCAUAUCAAUAAGCGGAGGA